rnacentral:rRNA from 1 species
AAUCCAUAGGUUAAUGAGGCGAACCGGGGGAACUGAAACAUCUAAGUACCCCGAGGAAAAGAAAUCAACCGAGAUUCCCCCAGUAGCGGCGAGCGAACGGGGAGGAGCCCAGAGCCUGAAUCAGCAUGUGUGUUAGUGGAAGCGUCUGGAAAGGCGCGCGAUACAGGGUGACAGCCCCGUACACAAAAGCGCAUGUGCUGUGAGCUCGAUGAGUAGGGCGGGACACGUGGUAUCCUGUCUGAAUAUGGGGGGACCAUCCUCCAAGGCUAAAUACUCCUGACUGACCGAUAGUGAACCAGUACCGUGAGGGAAAGGCGAAAAGAACCCCGGCGAGGGGAGUGAAAAAGAACCUGAAACCGUGUACGUACAAGCAGUGGGAGCACAGGUUUACCUGUGUGACUGCGUACCUUUUGUAUAAUGGGUCAGCGACUUAUAUUCUGUAGCAAGGUUAACCGAAUAGGGGAGCCGGAGGGAAACCGAGUCUUAAUUGGGCGUUAAGUUGCAGGGUAUAGACCCGAAACCCGGUGAUCUAGCCAUGGGCAGGUUGAAGGUUGGGUAACACUAACUGGAGGACCGAACCGACUAAUGUUGAAAAAUUAGCGGAUGACCUGUGGCUGGGGGUGAAAGGCCAAUCA